GACGAACGCUGGCGGCGUGCUUAACACAUGCCAGUCGAACGAAGAGCGACGGAAGCUUGCUUCUCUCAAUAUUAGUGGCGAACGGGUGAGUAACGCGUAAUCAACCUGCCCUUCAGAGGGGGACAACAGUUGGAAACGACUGCUAAUACCGCAUACGAUCUAACCUCGGCAUCGAGGAUAGAUGAAAGGUGGCCUCUACAUGUAAGCUAUCACUGAAGGAGGGGAUUGCGUCUGAUUAGCUAGUUGGAGGGGUAACGGCCCACCAAGGCGAUGAUCAGUAGCCGGUCUGAGAGGAUGAACGGACACAUUGGGACUGAGACACGGCCCAGACUCCUACGGGAGGCAGCAGUGGGGAAUCUUCCGCAAUGGACGAAAGUCUGACGGAGCAACGCCGCGUGAGUGAGGACGGCCUUCGGGUUGUAAAGCUCUGUUAAUCGGGACGAAAGGCCUUCUUGCGAAUAGUGAGAAGGAUUGACGGUACCGGAAUAGAAAGCCACGGCUAACUACGUG
rnacentral:rRNA from 1 species